rnacentral:rRNA from 1 species
CCUACGGGCGGCAGCAGUGGGGAAUAUUGGGCAAUGGUCGAAAGCCUGACCCAGCAACGCCGCGUGAAGGAAGAAGGCUUUCGGGUUGUAAACUUCUUUUUACAGGGAAGCGCAGACGACGGUACCUCUCGAAUAAGCCACGGCUAACUACGUGCCAGCAGCCGCGGUAAUACGUAGGUGGCAGGCGUUGUCCGGAUUUACUGGGUGUAAAGGGCGUGUAGCCGGGCUGACAAGUCAGAUGUGAAAUCCGGGGGCUCAACCCCCGAACUGCAGUUGAAACUGGUGGUCUUGAGUAUCGGAGAGGCAGGCGGAAUGCGUGGUGUAGCGGUGAAAUGCGUAGAUAUUAGGAGGAACACCAGUGGCGAAGGCGGCCUGCUGGCUGACAACUGACGGUGAGGCGCGAAAGCGUGGGGAGCAAACAGGAUUAGAUACCCGAGUAGUC